rnacentral:rRNA from 1 species
GAUGAACGCUGGCGGCGUGCCUAAUACAUGCAAGUCGAGCGAACGGACGAGAAGCUUGCUUUUCUGAUGUUAGCGGCGGACGGGUGAGUAACACGUGGAUAACCUACCUAUAAGACUGGGAUAACUUCGGGAAACCGGAGCUAAUACCGGAUAAUAUUUUGAACCGCAUGGUUCAAAAGUGAAAGACGGUCUUGCUGUCACUUAUAGAUGGAUCCGCGCUGCAUUAGCUAGUUGGUAAGGUAACGGCUUACCAAGGCAACGAUGCAUAGCCGACCUGAGAGGGGAGUGGGCCAACUGGGAACUGAGAACGGGUCCAGAUCCCUAGGGGGGGCAGCGUGAGGAAUUCUCCCGCAAGGGGCGAAAGCUUGACGAGGAAAGGCGGGGGGGGUGAGGAGGGUCUCCGGUUCGAAAAACCUUGUUUUUGGGAAGAAACAUAUGUGUAGUAACUGUGCACAUCUUGACGGUACCUAAUCAGAAAGCCACGGCUAACUACGUG